GCGGUGCCGGGAGCCGCGAGGGCCAGUGGGCGGACGGGUGGGCGGGCCGCCGCGGGCCGCCUCUGAGGCUGGAGAGUGUUACCAGCUGGAAGGAAGCUAUUACUCCAGACUUCAGCUGCUGGACUUCGGGCUGGUUCAGGGAGGGACAGCGAGGGACGUGUUGAGAGGGGCUUGAGCCCAAACUGGUAAUCUGGCAGCUAGUUCCUCAGGCAGCUGAAAGGAAACAGCUACCCAGUGCAUCUCCCAUCUGGAUGUGACUGCUUGUCUCAGAGUCCUGUAGAAUGGGAACAUUGACAUUACUGUGAAAAGCCAAUACCAUCCAAAAACAAAGGAGCCAAUGAACAUGGCCUCGUCUCCCAGAAACUAAGAAUGACUGACUAUGGUACCAGAUAGCUUCCUGUUUUUCCUGGCUGACAAUCCCCCUGUGUACAGAGUCUGAUGCCUCAUCCAUCAGUAGCAGGUUCUGGGCCCAACCCAGGAGAUUUCAUUCCUUCCCUGUUAGUGUCUAAUUUCUACUCUUCCUUGAUAACCAAUAAAAUCUGUAUCACAAAGCU